GCCGCUAUAGUUCAGUGGUAGAAUACCCGGACCGUUGAAAAUGCUUCGACACCGGGAGGCCGUGGGUUCGAUUCCCGCGUAGGGGUG